GUGGGGAAUAUUGCGCAAUGGGCGGAAGCCUGACGCAGCAACGCCGCGUGCGGGAGGAAGGCCUUCGGGUCGUAAACCGCUUUCAGGGGGGACGAAGCCACCUGGGUUAAUAGCCUAAGGGGUGACGGUACUCCCAGAAGAAGCCCCGGCUAACUACGUGCCAGCAGCCGCGGUAAUACGUAGGGGGCGAGCGUUGUCCGGAAUCAUUGGGCGUAAAGAGCGUGUAGGCGGCUUGGAAAGUCUUACGUGAAAGCCUGCGGCUCAACCGCAGAAGUGCGUAGGAAACUUCCUCGCUAGAGUCCGGAAGAGGAGAGCGGAAUUCCUGGUGUAGCGGUGGAAUGCGCAGAUAUCAGGAGGAACACCCGUGGCGAAGGCGGCUCUCUGGGACGGUACUGACGCUGAGACGCGAAAGCGUGGGGAGCGAACAGGAUUAGAUACCCUAGUAGUCC
rnacentral:rRNA from 1 species